GUCCACGCCGUAAACGAUGGGCACUAGGUGCUUGGGGGAGCGACCCUCCGAGUGCCGGCGCUAACGCAUUAAGUGCCCCGCCUGGGGAGUACGGCCGCAAGGCUGAAACUCAAAGGAAUUGACGGGGGCCCCGCACAAGCGGUGGAGCAUGUGGUUUAAUUCGACGCAACGCGAAGAACCUUACCUGGGCUUGACAUGCACGGGAAACCCUUCAGAAACGAGGGGCCCUCUUCGGAGUCCGUGCACAGGUGCUGCAUGGCUGUCGU
rnacentral:rRNA from 1 species